AAAGUCCCGCAAGGGAUCGGUAGAGUGGCAAACGGGUGAGUAACACGUGGGUGACCUGCCUUCGAGUGGGGGAUAACGUCCCGAAAGGGACGCUAAUACCGCAUGACAUCCUGCCUUUGAAGAGGUGGAGAUCAAAGCUGGGGAUCGCAAGACCUAGCGCUUGAAGAGGGGCCCGCGUCUGAUUAGCUAGUUGGUGAGGUAACGGCUCACCAAGGCUACGAUCAGUAUCCGGCCUGAGAGGGCGGACGGACACACUGGGACUGAGACACGGCCCAGACUCCUACGGGAGGCAGCAGUGGGGAAUUGUUCGCAAUGGGCGCAAGCCUGACGACGCAACGCCGCGUGGAGGAUGAAGACCUUCGGGUCGUAAACUCCUUUCGAUCGAGACGAACGGCUUCCGGGCAAAUAUCCCGGGAGAUUGACGGUACCGAGAGAAGAAGCCCCGGCUAACUCCGUGCCAGCAGCCGCGGUAAUACGGGGGGGGCAAGCGUUGUUCGGAAUUACUGGGCGUAAAGGGCUCGUAGGCGGCCAACUAAGUCAGACGUGAAAUCCCUCGGCUUAACCGGGGAACUGCGUCUGAUACUGGAUGGCUUGAGGUUGGGAGAGUGAUGCGGAAUUCCAGGUGUAGCGGUGAAAUGCGUAGAUAUCUGGAGGAACACCGGUGGCGAAGGCGGCAUCCUGGACCAAAUCUGACGCUGAGGAGCGAAAGCCAGGGGAGCAAACGGGAUUAGAUACCCCGGUAGUCCUGGCCCUAAACGAUGAAUGCUUGGUGUGGCGGGUAUCGAUCCCUGCCGUGCCGAAGCUAACGCAUUAAGCAUU
rnacentral:rRNA from 1 species